AUUGAACGCUGGCGGCAGGCCUAACACAUGCAAGUCGAGCGGGGUUUUCGGACCUAGCGGCGGACGGGUGAGUAAUGCGUAGGAAGCUACCCGACAGAGGGGGAUACCAGUUGGAAACGACUGUUAAUACCGCAUAAUGUCUACGGACCAAAGUGUGGGACCUUCGGGCCACAUGCUGUCGGAGGCGCCUACGUGGGAUUAGCUAGUUGGUGAGGUAAUGGCUCACCAAGGCGACGAUCCCUAGCUGGUUUGAGAGGAUGAUCAGCCACACUGGAACUGAGACACGGUCCAGACUCCUACGGGAGGCAGCAGUGGGGAAUAUUGGACAAUGGGCGCAAGCCUGAUCCAGCCAUGCCGCGUGUGUGAAGAAGGCCU
rnacentral:rRNA from 1 species